AACGCUAGCUACAGGCUUAACACAUGCAAGUCGAGGGGCAGCAUGGUCUUAGCUUGCUAAGGCCGAUGGCGACCGGCGCACGGGUGAGUAACACGUAUCCAACCUGGCCUGACUCGGGGAUAGCCUUUCGAAAGAAAGAUUAAUACCCGAUGGCAUGGUUUCCCCGCAUGGGGAAUCCAUUAAAGAUUUAUCGGUGAAGGAUGGGGAUGCGUUCCAUUAGCUUGUUGGCGGGGUAACGGCCCACCAAGGCUACGAUGGAUAGGGGUUCUGAGAGGAAGGUCCCCCACAUUGGAACUGAGACACGGUCCAAACUCCUACGGGAGGCAGCAGUGAGGAAUAUUGGUCAAUGGCCGAGAGGCUGAACCAGCCAAGUAGCGUGAAGGAUGACGGCCCUACGGGUUGUAAACUUCUUUUAUAAGGGAAUAAAGGGCGCCACGCGUGGUGUUUUGCAUGUACCUUAUGAAUAAGCAUCGGCUAACUCCGUGCCAGCAGCCGCGGUAAUACGGAGGAUGCGAGCGUUAUCCGGAUUUAUUGGGUUUAAAGGGUGCGUAGGCCGGCUGGUAAGUCAGCGGUGAAACGUCGUUGCUCAACAAUGACCGUGCCGUUGAAACUGUCAGUCUUGAGUGCAUCCAGUGCAUGCGGAAUUCGUGGUGUAGCGGUGAAAUGCUUAGAUAUCACGAAGAACUCCGAUUG
rnacentral:rRNA from 1 species